ACGAACGCUGGCGGCAUGCCUAACACAUGCAAGUCGAACGAGACCUUCGGGUCUAGUGGCGCACGGGUGCGUAACGCGUGGGAACCUGCCCUUAGGUUCGGAAUAACUCCCCGAAAGGGGUGCUAAUACCGGAUAAUGUCUUCGGACCAAAGAUUUAUCGCCUUUGGAUGGGCCCGCGUUGGAUUAGCUAGUUGGUAGGGUAAAAGCCUACCAAGGCGACGAUCCAUAGCUGGUCUGAGAGGAUGAUCAGCCACACUGGGACUGAGACACGGCCCAGACUACUACGGGAGGCAGCAGUGGGGAAUAUUGGACAAUGGGCGAAAGCCUGAUCCAGCAAUGCCGCGUGAGUGAUGAAGGCCUUAGGGUUGUAAAGCUCUUUUACCCGGGAUGAUAAUGACAGUACCGGGAGAAUAAGCUCCGGCUAACUCCGUG
rnacentral:rRNA from 1 species